CCUACGGGAGGCAGCAGUGAGGAAUAUUGGUCAAUGGACGAGAGUCUGAACCAGCCAAGUAGCGUGAAGGAUGACUGCCCUAUGGGUUGUAAACUUCUUUUAUAUGGGAAUAAAAUGUUCCACGUGUGGGCUUUUGUAUGUACCAUAUGAAUAAGGAUCGGCUAACUCCGUGCCAGCAGCCGCGGUAAUACGGAGGAUCCGAGCGUUAUCCGGAUUUAUUGGGGUUAAAGGGAGCGUAGGUGGGUUGUUAAGUCAGUUGUGAAAGUUUGCGGCUCAACUGUAAAAUUGCAGUUGAAACUGGCAGUCUUGAGUACAGUAGAGGUGUGCGGAAUUCGUGGUGUAGCGGUGAAAUGCUUAGAUAUCACGAAGAACUCCGAUUGCGAAGGCAGCUCACUGGACUGCAACUGACACUGAGGCUCGAAAGUGUGGGUAUCAAACAGGAUUAGAUACCCGUGUAGUC
rnacentral:rRNA from 1 species